rnacentral:rRNA from 1 species
GACGAACGCUGGCGGCGUGCUUAACACAUGCAAGUCGAACGGAAAGGCCCUGCUUUUGUGUGGUGCUCGAGUGGCGAACGGGUGAGUAACACGUGAGUAACCUGCCCUUGACUUUGGGAUAACUUCAGGAAACUGGGUCUAAUACCGGAUAGGAGCUCCUGCUGCAUGUUGAGGGUUGGAAAGUUUCGGCGGUUGGGGAUGGACUCGCGGCUUAUCAGCUUGUUGGUGGGGUAGUGGCUUACCAAGGCUUUGACGGGUAGCCGGCCUGAGAGGGUGACCGGCCACAUUGGGACUGAGAUACGGCCCAGACUCCUACGGGAGGCAGCAGUGGGGAAUAUUGCACAAUGGGCGGAAGCCUGAUGCAGCAACGCCGCGUGCGGGAUGACGGCCUUCGGGUUGUAAACCGCUUUCGCCUGUGACGAAGCGUGAGUGACGGUAAUGGGUAAAGAAGCACCGGCUAACUACGUG